AGCGAACGUUUGCGGCGGGCCUAACACAUGCAAGUCGAACGCACUAGCAAUAGUGAGUGGCGCACGGGUGCGUAACACGUGGGUAAUCAACCCUUCAGCCUGGGACAACGACUCGAAAGGGUCGCUAAUACCGGAUACGGCGCGAGAGGCUUCGGCUUCUCACGAGAAAGCCACGCAAGGGGCACUGAAGGACGAGCCUGCGGCCCAUCAGCUAGUUGGUGAGGUAAGAGCUCACCAAGGCUAAGACGGGUAGCUGGUCUGAGAGGAUGAUCAGCCACACUGGAACUGAGACACGGUCCAGACUCCUACGGGAGGCAGCAGUGGGGAAUAUUGCGCAAUGGGCGAAAGCCUGACGCAGCCACGCCGCGUGAGCGAUGAAGGCCUCGGUCGUAAGACUCUGUGGGAGGAGACGAAGAAAGACCUGUGAAGAGCAGGCCUUGACGGUAGUCUCCUUAGUCAAGCACUGGCGUAACUCCGU
rnacentral:rRNA from 1 species